rnacentral:rRNA from 1 species
GACGAACGCUGGCGGCGUGCUUAACACAUGCAAGUCGAGCGGUAAGGCCCUUUCGGGGUACGACGAGCGGCGAACGGGUGAGUAACACGUGGGUGACCUGCCCUUACGCUCUGGGAUAAGCCUGGGAAACUGGGUCUAAUACCGGAUAUGACUCCAUGACGCAUGUUGUGGGGUGGAAAGCCUUGUGCGGCUAGGGAUGGGCCCGCGGCCUAUCAGCUUGUUGGUGGGGUGAUGGCCACCAAGGCGACGACGGGUAGCCGGCCUGAGAGGGCGACCGGCCACACUGGGACUGAGACACGGCCCAGACUCCUACGGGAGGCAGCAGUGGGGAAUCUUGCGCAAUGGGCGAAAGCCUGACGCAGCGACGCCGCGUGAGGGAUGACGGCCU